GUGAACGAAUUUUUGAACGCAAAUUGCAGUCUCUGGUAUUCCGGAGAGUAUGCCUGUUUGAGGGUCAGUAUUAAUAAAAAUCGGUGUGUUGCUUCUUUGUGACGCUCCGGAGUUUGGGUCAUCUUUACCUUUCGGUUAAGUGACUGAAAAUUUUUUGUAUGAUAUCUGAACGUAUUUAAAUUUAUUUGGUACGUUUUGUAAUAUCGAAUGUUUAUUAGGUGUGAUCAUCCUCAUGACUUACGUCUAUAAUUUUUCAUCUAAUGACCUCAAAUCAGGUAAGAGUACCCGCUGAACUUAAGCA
rnacentral:misc_RNA from 1 species